AGACCUCGCGCUAACGGAGCGGCCGAUGUCAGAUUAGGUAGUUGGUGGGGUAAAGGCCUACCAAGCCUGCGAUCUGUAGCUGGUCUGAGAGGACGACCAGCCACACUGGGACUGAGACACGGCCCAGACUCCUACGGGAGGCAGCAGUGGGGAAUUUUGGACAAUGGGCGCAAGCCUGAUCCAGCCAUGCCGCGUGCGGGAAGAAGGCCUUCGGGUUGUAAACCGCUUUUGUCAGGGAAGAAACGCCGCGAAAUAAUACUUCGUGGUAAUGACGGUACCUGAAGAAUAAGCACCGGCUAACUACGUGCCAGCAGCCGCGGUAAUACGUAGGGUGCAAGCGUUAAUCGGAAUUACUGGGCGUAAAGCGUGCGCAGGCGGUUGUGCAAGACAGAUGUGAAAUCCCCGAGCUCAACUUGGGAACUGCAUUUGUGACUGCACGGCUUGAGUGCGGCAGAGGGGGAU
rnacentral:rRNA from 1 species